rnacentral:rRNA from 1 species
CUUGGUCAUUUAGAGGAAGUAAAAGUCAUAACAAGGUUCCUGUAGGUGAACCUGCAGAAGGAUCAUUAGAGAAUUUUUAGGGAUUGAUUUCGAUCUUCCCGAACCUUUUUUCUUAUCCUAAACACCUGUGCAUCGUGGAGUGUGUAGUACUAUACACUCCACAAUUCUUAUCACACAAACUCUUAUGUUUUUUUGAACGUAAAACAAGUGUUAAUUUUAUUUAACCAAAUAACAAAUUAAUAACUUUUGACAACGGAUCUCUUGGUUCUCCCAUCGAUGAAGAACGCAGCGAAACGCGAUAGGUAAUGUGAAUUGCAGAAUUCAGUGAAUCAUCGAAUCUUUGAACGCAUCUUGCGCUCCUUGGUAUUCCUCGGAGCAUGCCUGUUCGAGUGUCGUGAAUAUCUCCAUUAAAAGAUUUUUUCUUUUAACGGGUCCUUGGGCUUGGUGAUGAGAUUAGCCUCCUUGUAUCACCUUGCCUUAAAAGUAUGAGUGGAUGAGUGUCAGCCAUAGAUUUUUGUUAAGGCAAACCCAUAAAAAUCUUGUGCUUUUGUCAUCUGCUACCAAACAAACACACACAUACAUAAUUCUUUAUGUAUUCCUUUCUGGCCUCAAAUCAGGUAAGAUUACCCGCUGAACUUAAGCAUAUCAAUAAGCGGAGGA